GACGAACGCUGGCGGCGUGCCUAAUACAUGCAAGUUGAGCGCUGAAGGUUGGUACUUGUACCGACUGGAUGAGCAGCGAACGGGUGAGUAUCGCGUGAGGAAUCUGCCUUUGAGCGGGGGACAACAUUUGGAAACGAAUGCUAAUACCGCAUAAAAACUUUAAACACAAGUUUUAAGUUUGAAAGAUGCAAUUGCAUCACUCAAAGAUGAUCCCGCGUUGUAUUAGCUAGUUGGUGAGGUAAAGGCUCACCAAGGCGAUGAUACAUAGCCGACCUGAGAGGGUGAUCGGCCACAUUGGGACUGAGACACGGCCCAAACUCCUACGGGAGGCAGCAGUAGGGAAUCUUCGGCAAUGGACGAAAGUCUGACCGAGCAACGCCGCGUGAGUGAAGAAGGUUUUCGGAUCGUAAAACUCUGUUGGUAGAGAAGAACGUUGGUGAGAGUGGAAAGCUCAUCAAGUGACGGUAACUACCCAGAAAGGGACGGCUAACUACGUGCCAGCAGCCGCCGUAA
rnacentral:rRNA from 1 species